rnacentral:rRNA from 1 species
GACGAACGCUGGCGGCGUGCCUAAUACAUGCAAGUCGAACGCAGUGGGGACGGGGGAGUAACACGUGGCUAACCUCCCAUCAGAGGGGAUAACACUUGGAAACAGGUGCUAAACCGCUACCGGUGGAUGGACCCGCGGGGCAUGUGCUAGUGGGUGAGGUAACGGCUCACCAAGGCCACGAUGCAUAGCCGGUCUGCGAGGGGGAUCGGCCACACGGGGACUGAGACACGGCCCAGACUCCUACGGGAGGCAGCAGGAGGGAAGCUUCGGCAAUGGACGAAAGUCUGACCGAGCAAUGCCGCGUGAGUGAAGAAGGUUUUCGGGUUGUAAAGCUCUGUUGUUAGAGAAGCGGUAUCUAACCAGAAAGCCACGGCUAACUACGUGCCAGCAGCCGCGGUAAUUC